rnacentral:RNase_P_RNA from 1 species
UUGGAAGGGUGGAGGAUCGCUUUUGGCGUUGAUUCGUCAGGAGAGGAAAGUCCGAACACCACAGGGCGCGAUGCCGCGUAACCCCGGUCUCGCCGGGGAUACACGCUGGGCAGUUUGUCCGCGAGGAUGGCUGACGGAAAGUGCCACAGAAAAUAAACCGCCACGGCUUCGGCCGGGGUAAGGGUGAAAAGGUGGGGUAAGAGCCCACCGCGCCGAGCGCAAGCGAGGCGGCACGGAAAACCCCAUUGGGUGCAAGACCAAAUAGGGGGCCAAGGGACGGCCCGUCCCGCGGUCGGAAACGACCAAGGCUCCGGGUUAGGUCGCAAUAGAUAAAUGAUCCUCUCCGCCGGGCAACCGGCGCAGACAAAAUUCGGCUUACAACCCUUCCAAGGUC